UCCCGCCCCUGGGAGCCGCACGCCUAGUACCCGUGCAGCCGGGACCCGCUGGGCUACUUGGCGAGGUCACGAGCACCCAGAGGCAUCCUUGCUGCCGGUCCCUACGGUCCCUCUAAGGUCUCCUUCCAGGUUGCUGGCCUAGCGUGGCUUAGGACAGGGCAAGCUGAUGGCGUCUGCCAACCCCUGGGCGAAGGGUGCUUACCGCUAGCUUUCGCUGGGACGUCGGCGGCUCCGACCGGAAGAAAGCGUGGCCCACUGAGGAAAUCCAGGAUGCUCUCCGCUUGACAACCUUCACUUCAUCGCAGGUUCCAGGGAUCAAACACAUGCACGUCUUAGAGGGCUACUACUCAGUCCACAGCACCAGCCACCAGCCAGAGUGACCUUCCUAGAAUGUAAGCCUGAACAGACUCUGCCCUCCCUAACAUCUCCCAGGACGCCUUCAACUCAGGAGACACCCAAGGUUUUCGCCUGACACGCUACCAGUCUUGGCUCUCACCAUUUUUGCCAUCGUCUCCCACCUAAGGGUCUUCAAAAAUGCUCUCCAAGGGAAGGCACUCCUGCUGCACACGCUGCUCCCCAGCUCCAUCAGAGGCACUGCGCAGGCCCUCCGGACUGCGUACCUGUGUGUGCGGUGUGUUUGUGUGCGUGGGCCCGUGUGCAUGUGGGUGGGGGACUCGGGGCCCCAAGCCCCCUGUGCAGCUAGCCCCUGUCAUGCCUUGAGCACUGUGUCACAGCUGACUGUCCCCCACCCAAGGCUGAAGCCCAGAGCACACAGAACACCAGCCUAAAAGGGCAUACCACGCACGCCCCCCCCACACUCACAUACAAUCAUGCCCACGAAUCAGGCACCUCCCGGGCAGCCCCCUUAUGCGCAAGGCUGCACUGUGCAUACACCCGCACACACCCAAAUCAUAUCACUCUGCCCUCUGGCCCCAGGCCCAAUGCCUGCCGGUCACCUCCUCAUCCCCACCCCCACCCCCGUGUUUGUCAGUUAAACAGCACGGCUUGAACUCCUCCUUUCCCCUGGGCCUUUUGUGGCGUGAAGAGUCUCCGCUCAGCAAGUAAUAGGUGCCUGUGAAUGUGAGUCAAGGGAAUGACUCAAUGAACACAUUAAUUUUUAAAACCCUGGGUCACGGGGCACCCUCCUGGCAGGCAGCCUGGACACAGUGGUUGACAAAUGAAUAAUUCACUAGCCACCAGUUGGAGCCAGCAAACCUCCAGGCGGCGAUUCCUCUCCCACCAUCAAGCCACACCCACUUUGCCGGCCCUCCCUUCCAUGUCACCUGUCACCACUCCCAAACGUGGCUUCCCACCCCCUCACCACCCACCCAUCCCCUGACCUUGCCCCGGGGAUUAUCUGCAGACCCUGUACAGAGAAGGUGGCCAAUAAAGGUAAGGUGUACAAUCGUA